AACAAACGCUGGCGGCGUGCCUAAUACAUGCAAGUCGAACGGGGAAAGUAGCAAUACGAGUACUAGUGGCGCACGGGUGAGGAAUACAUGGGUAAUCUGCCCUCGAGCUCGGGAUAACCAGUCGAAAGACUGGCUAAUACCGGAUAUGACCACAAGAUCUGAGGAUCAAGGGGUAAAAGGUUUUUCGCUUGAGGAUGAGCCCAUGUGGGAUUAGCUAGUUGGUGUAGGUAACGGCUCACCAAGGCGACGAUCCCGUAACUGGGUCUUAGAGGAUGAUCAGUCACACUGGAACUGAGACACGGUCCAGACUCCUACGGGAGGCAGCAGUAGGGAAUAUUGCACAAUGGAGGAAACUCUGAUGCAGCGACGCCGCGUGAGUGAUGAAGGCCUUCGGGUCGUAAAGCUCUGUCGUAUGGGACUAACAAAAUGAAGGUACCAUGCAAGAAAGGAUCGGCUAACUUCGUGCCAGCAGCCGCGUAA
rnacentral:rRNA from 1 species